AUCUGCGUCGCUGCCUUCAGCCUCCAUUGCUGUGAUGCUCGCUCUCGUCGCGCACACUUUCUCCUUCGUGUCCCUCGUCGUGGCGUUGCGUGGACACGAUGAUGACGUCACGGCAGACAGACCCUACGAGGUCUUAUUCAAGCAGAAUUUAGUCACGCUCGGAAGUGUCCUGGGCGUCCUCCUGCUGCUGAUGAUCAUCAUGGCUGUGUGUGUCUACAAGCCUCUGUCCAGGCGGUGAAAACGAAACUAAAAACAAAACAAAACCCAACAAGGACGGAGAGACCCCUAACGUGACGUCACUUCCUUUCCUUUCACCGCCUGUCACAGUCAGUGUAUUUAUUCUGUUCAGUUGUUGAACAUAAUGCUGUCCAAAAAAUAUAAUUUUAAAUAUCAAAUAUCA